rnacentral:rRNA from 1 species
CACGUAGGGCGCAAGCGUUGUCCGGAAUUAUUGGGCGUAAAGAGCUCGUAGGCGGUCUGUUGCGUCCGCUGUGAAAACUCGGGGCUUAACCCCGAGCCUGCAGUGGAUACGGGCAGACUAGAGGUAGGUAGGGGAGAAUGGAAUUCCCGGUGUAGCGGUGAAAUGCGCAGAUAUCGGGAGGAACACCGGUGGCGAAGGCGGUUCCCUGGGCCUUACUGACACUGAGAAGCGAAAGCAUGGGGAGCGAACAGG